rnacentral:sRNA from 1 species
CAUUACACAAUAAACAUAUGAAGGCUGCACCGCCAACAGGCGGCAAGGCUGGAGUAUUUUAUUACCCUUGUCUUUUGCGCACUUGUUGUUUCCUGGGCGGGUUCGCCCGCCUCCAGGACCACAUGAUAAACCUUUUUUAUGCAGUGGCAAUCAGCGUCAGUACAACAAAUGUAAAUCAUUUACAACUUUCAACAACGGAUCUCUUGGUUCUGGCAUCGAUGAAGAACGCAGCGAAAUGCGAUACGUAGUGUGAAUUGCAGAAUUCAGUGAAUCAUCGAAUCUUUGAACGCACAUUGCGCCCUUUGGUAUUCCAAAGGGCAUGCCUGUUCGAGCGUCAUUUGUACCCUCAAGCUUUGCUUGGUGUUGGGCGUUUUUUGUCUUUGGUUUUGUCCAAAGACUCGCCUUAAAACGAUUGGCAGCCGGCCUACUGGUUUCGCAGCGCAGCACAUUUUUGCGCUUGCAAUCAGCAAAAGAGGACGGCACUCCAUCAAGACUCUAUAUCACUUUUGACCUCGGAUCAGGUAGGGAUACCCGCUGAACUUAAGCAUAUCAAUAAGCGGAGGAAAAGAAACCAACAGGGAUUGCCUUAGUAACGGCGAGUGAAGCGGCAACAGCUCAAAUUUGAAAUCUGGCUCUUUCAGAGUCCGAGUUGUAAUUUGCAGAGGGCGCUUGGCUUUGGCAGCGGUCCA